AGGCCGGGGAGCCUUUCUCGUGUGAGGGCAGAGGCCGCGGAGAGAGAGGGUGAGCAGGGGCACGGUGGUGGUUUGGCGCCCACCCUGCGGCCGGUCGGACGUCAGGGGGCGGGCCGAGCCCAUCGACGGGGGCGGCCGCUCUGCGUUCGGCUCUUCCGUCCUGCCUCUCGGCUCUGGAUUAGCAAAACUGGCGACGUGGGACAGUCGACGGCCUGGCCCCCUCGCCCGGCGGGGUGAAGCUGGGACUCAGAGCUGGCCGCGCCGCAGCGUAGAGAAGCCGGGGAAGCCAGCCGCCGCAGCGUCCCCGCCGGCGGGACGCGGAGACAGGGAGCAGCCGCUGCGCUCUCCUGCCGCAGCCCUGCUGGCGCGGUGCGGUGAGGUGAGGAGCCCCCGGGGGGCGGUUGGGCAGUGGGGCCAUGGCGCUGCGGGCCCGGGCGCUGUACGACUUCAGGUCGGAGAACCCGGGGGAGAUAUCGCUGCGAGAGCACGAGGUGCUGAGCCUCUGCAGCGAGCAGGACAUCGAGGGCUGGCUAGAGGGGGUCAACAGCAACGGCGACCGCGGCCUCUUCCCGGCCUCUUACGUGCAGGUGAUCCGCGUCCCGGCCGCCGAGCCGCCGCCCGCCCGCUACGCCAACCUCCCCGCCGGUGGCUUCGAGCUGCUGCCGCCCCCCGCCGUCUUCAAGCCGGCGGCGCAGCAGGCCCCGCCGGCGGCGGCGCCCGAGCCCUUCUCGCUGUCCCCCGCCGCCGGGUACCCCUUCCCGCUGGCGCCCUACGGCAGGUCCUACCAGCCCAGCCAGGGCAGCGAUGACGACUGGGACGACGACUGGGAUGAAAGCUCCACGGUGGCCGAUGAGCCAGGUGCUCUGGGCAGCUCCUACCCCGACUACAAGGCAGCAGGCAGCUGGGCCUCUGGCCGCUACUGCCUGUCUACACGGUCCGAGUUGUCCCUGAGCUCCCGUGGUGGCCAUAUGGCAGGCCACCUGCACCCGCCUGGCAGCGGCGCCAAGAGCUCAGCCAUGGUGAGCCGCAACCUCAACCGCUUCUCCACCUUUGUCAAGUCUGGCGGGGAGGCCUUCGUGCUGGGUGAGGCAUCAGGCUUUGUAAAGGAUGGGGACAAGUUGUGUGUGGUGCUGGGCCCCCGGGGCCCUGAGUGGCAGGAGAACCCCUACCCCUUCCAGUGCUCUAUUGAGGACCCCACCAAGCAGACCAAGUUCAAGGGCAUGAAGAGCUACAUCGCCUACAAGCUGGUGCCCAGCCACACCAGGCAGCAGGUGCACCGCCGCUACAAGCACUUUGACUGGCUCUACGGGCGCCUGGCUGAGAAGUUCCCUGUCAUCUCUGUGCCCCACUUGCCGGAGAAGCAGGCCACCGGACGCUUUGAGGAGGACUUCAUCUCCAAACGUCGCAAAGGCCUGGCCUGGUGGAUGGACCACAUGUGCAGCCACCCUGUGCUGGCUCAGUGCGAUGCCUUCCAGCACUUCCUCACCUGUCCCAGCACGGAUGAGAAGGCCUGGAAACAAGGCAAGCGCAAGGCUGAGAAGGACGAGAUGGUGGGUGCCAACUUUUUCCUGACCAUCAGUGUCCCCACUGGCCCUGGGGCAGGCCUGGACUUGCAGGAGGUGGAAAGCCAGGUGGAUGGCUUCAAAGCCUUCACAAAGAAGAUGGACGAGAGCGCCCUGCAGCUUAAUCACACGGCCAACGAGUUUGCCCGCAAACAAGUCACUGGUUUCAAGAAGGAAUACCAGAAGGUGGGGCACUCCUUUAAGUGCCUCAGUCAGGCAUUUGAGCUGGACCAGCAGGCCUUUUCGGCUGGCCUCAACCAAGCCAUAGCCUUCACUGCAGAAGCCUAUGAUGCCAUCGGGGACCUCUUUGCAGAUCAGCCCCGGCAGGACCUAGAUGCUAUGAUGGAUUUGUUAGCACUGUAUCAGGGGCAUUUGGCCAACUUUCCAGACAUCGUCCACGUCCAGAAAGAAAGCCAGAAGUUGUUUGCUUUUGAAUGGGAAAGUCCUACCACAGGGAGGAAAAUACAGUUCUGCUGGACCAUGCUGCCACAAGGAUUCAAGAAUAGCCCGACAUUGUUUGGUAAUGUACUUGCCAAGGAAUUGGAAAAUUGGCAAGGUAAGAAUCCUUCCAUUACUUUGCUGCAGUAUGUGGAUGAUAUCCUACUUGGGGCAAAGACUGAACAAGAAUGUAAACCUGCAACUAUAGAUUUGCUGAAUUUUUGGGGACUGGCUGGAUAUCGGGUAUCUCAGACGAAGGCUCAAAUGAUACAAACCACUGUAACUUACUUAGGAUUUAAGAUAUCUCAAGGAAAAAGAGAACUAAGAGCGGAAAGAAGUUAUUUGUUGGAUAGCUCCCCCCAAUCUAAAAGAGAACUAUGAGGAUUUUUGGGAAUGGCUGGAUGGUAUAGACUCUGGAUACCAAAUUUUAGCCUGAUUGCCAAACCAUCAUAUGCGGCUAUGAAGGGGCCUGGAGAAAUUUUGGAAUGGACACCAGAGCGUCGGAAAGGAUUUGAUUCCAUUAAAACUGAAUUAAUGAGAGCCCCUGCUCUGGGUCUGCCGGACUUAAGCAAACCCUUUACAUUAUAUAUGCAUGAGAGGCAACAUGUAGCAUUGGGAGUCCUGACUCAAACUCUGGGAGACUGGAAAAGACUGGUAGCUUACUUCUCCAAGCAGCUAGACGAGAUGGAAGUAGCUUCAUGGUGAAUGGAGAAUGGAAAGCUGGGUAUGCCGUUGUAACCCUACAAGAGGAGGUUGAAGCAUGAGCAUUGCCACCCAAUACCUCCGCUCAGAAAGCAGAGAUCAUAGCUCUAACUCAAGCUUUGGAGCUAUCCAGAGAUAAAAAGGUAAACAUAUAUACAGACUCCAAAUAUGUGUUUAGAGUGGUCCACGCACAUGGAGCCAUUUGGAAAGAGCAUGGAUUGUUAUCCUCUCAAGGAACCCCUAUCAAAUAUGGACCAGAGAUUUUGAAACUGCUGCAAGCUGUUCUAGGACCAAAAGCAGUUGCAAUUGUACAUUGCAAAGCUCACCAGAAAGGACAAACCAAGAUAAUCAAAGAAAAUCGAAAGGCAGAUGAAACGGCUAAAAGAGUUGCAGAAAGGGCAUAAUUGAUUGGGGCACUGAUCCCACCAAGAGAAGUUCAAUGGGAAGCUCCGGAAUAUUCUGAAGAGGAGGAUCAGCUUGCCAAAUAUUUGGAAUGUACCAAAUCAGAGGAAGGUUGGUGGGUAACUAAAAAUGGACAAGUAUUGAUCACUACCCCAAUGGUAAGAGAAAUAUUGAAGAAAACCCAUAAUGAAUCCCAUAUGGGAGCAGACACUUUGGUUGCAAGCGUUAAAAGAUAUGCUGUAGGACCAAAAAUGCAAAAAUUAGCUGAUAAAAUUGUACGACAAUGUCAGCAGUGUUGCAAGAAUAAUCCAAAAAUUCAAAGAAAGCCUCCUUUUGGAGAAGUGAGACGAGGUCAAACGCCGGGGGAAUACUGGCAAAUAGAUUUCUCUGAAUUACCAAAAUGUAACCAAUUUAAAUAUCUUUUGGGUUUAGUAGAUACUUUUUCUGGGUGGCCUGAAGCCUUCCCGUGCUGUACCAACAAAGCUAGAGAAGUAGUUAGGAUCUUGCUCAAAGAAGUGAUUCCGAGAUUCGGCAUGCCAGAAGGGAUGUCAUCAGACAAUGGCCCUCACUUUAUAGCUGAAGUAGUUCAGGGGGUUGCUAAGUUCCUACAAAUACAAUGGGAUCUUCAUACACCUUGGAGACCCCAAUCAAGUGGGAAGGUAGAAAGGAUGAAUCAAACCCUAAAGAGACAGAUCUCAAAGCUGUGUCAGGAAACACAGAUGAAGUGGGUAGAUGUCCUACCUAUAGCAUUAAUGAGAAUUUGGAUCACUCCUAGAGUAAGAGAAAAGGUGAGUCCUUUUGAAAUACUGUAUGGAAAACAGUAUCCUGCAAACUCAAUGACAGGAAAAGGAGACCAAAUGCAUGCAAAAGGAGAAGAAAUAUUGGUUAAUUAUUUAUUAUCCCUGUCACGGACUUUGUCUUCCUUACGUAGGUACCUUAACCAAUGAACUCCUUUGCCUUUAGACUCGCCAGUACAUGAAUUUCAACCUGGAGAUGCAGUUUAUAUCCGCACCUGGAAAGAUGAGCCUUUGAAAGAAAAAUGGAAAGGACCUUAGCUGGUGCUACUUACCACUUAUACUGCUGUGAAAGUGAAAGGUAUAGAUUCAUGGAUACACUAUACCCAUGUGAAGAAAGCUCCACAGAAGGAGUGGAUCUCUGAAGAAACGGGACCACUGAAGCUGAAACUCUCUCGGUCCCAGUGAACUGUAACUGGGACUCUGAGAAGUCAUAUAUUGAGCUAGAUUGCUAGAUUGUACGCAAGGCCUAGUAUCUUUGUAUUGUGUUUUGAUAGUUAUUUUCAUACCUUUGUUAGUGUAUUUGUGUAAGUAUACAGAUUUCUUUAGAAAAGAAAUGAAGGAACUAAGGGGGGUAAUAUUCUUCUGUUGCCUAUGGAUAUGGAUAAAGUUAAAAGAUGCCCGAGUGUCUUGUGGGGAACCAGGAAAUCCAUGGGAAAAGAACUUGCAUUUUGAAUUAUUGCAGAAAACAGUACAAAUGGCGAUCAAGUCUAAUUGUUGGAUCUGUACUCAUUUCCCCGAGCAUUCUAACAAAGGUGUUCCUUUAAUAGGAAUACCCCUCAAUUUCUCUUUCCCGGAAUUUGUAAAGUAUGUGCAGAAUAACAAUGACCAAACAUACGAUGACACAAUAGAGCAAGAAUGGAAAGUUCACAGUCUACCAGGAAAUUAUUAUCAAUGUCUAGAGAGAUGUAAUCAUAACACAGACUGGCCACCAAGACCUAAACUUAAUUGUACUGGAGCUAUAUAUGUAGGAGAAUAUGCAGAUUGUUCCAAAGGUACAUUUGAAAUCCGAUACCGAAGUUGGUCUGAAAAACAAAGAACUGGCUGGCAGGUUCCGAAGGGAAGUGGUUGGUAUUGGCUUUGUGGUGACAAGGCUCAUAAAACCCUACCUCCUAAUUGGUCAGGAACAUGUACCUUAGGAGCAGUAGUACCUAAUAUCACAAUAAUUGAAAAUUUAGGAUCUCAAAUAUGGACGAGAACCUACUUUCGAAGGAGUAAAAGAACUGCUAAUCUAUUGAUUGAUAGACCCACAGGAUUUCACUCCUUCGUGAGGUGGUUUAUUCCCUGGUUAGGAGUUAGCGAGUUAGAGAAAACUAUAGUAAAUAUUUCAGUCAUAAUUGAGAAAAUUGGGAACGAGACUUACGAUGCUAUAAAAGCCCUACAAGAAGAAGUGUCUGAAUUGGCUAAAAUUACUUUACAAAAUAGAAUGGCUCUUGAUAUGAUGCUAACCUCCCAAGGAGGAGUGUGCACAGUUCUAAAUACUAGUUGCUGUGUAUAUGUGGAUCAGAGUGGUUGAAUUUCUACAGACUUAGAAAAAAACUGGAAACAAACUAAAAUACUUUGUGAGAUACAAAAGGAUGACACAUCUUACAGGUUUGAAGAAACAUUUAAGUGGUUGACUUCCUGGUUCCCCAAUUUAAGUUUGUGGGUAAAAAGGUUAUUGAACUAUAUAAUAAUUGCUUUAAUAGCUUUUGUGUGUAUUUAUGCAUUGGUAUCUUGUGUUACUAAAUGUUGUUCUAAGGUUUAUGAGAAAAUAAUUUGAGGUGAGACUGAUAUAAGAGAAACCACAUUGAGGUUCCUCUUUUAUAAUCUCAGAGGGGGGAAAUGUAGUCAUAUGUUUGAGUUACGGCCUAGCUGUGGUGCAAUUUAGGGUUAAACAUGAUGCGUUGUCCUUUAAGGAGGACCAGUACUCCAUAGCUUCACUAUGCAAGCCUGAUUACUUUGUAUAAACUAUGCAUGCUUUGCUAAUGACUAUGCCCUUGGAGAGGGAACUAAAGACUGAUAAAAGGAAACAUCCUGCCCCAGAAGGCACUGGGAAGGCCGGAUGACUGCUGAAGAAGCAUGAACUAAGGGAAAGGUAGAGGUGGCAGGGGGAGAUCGCGACCACCGACUCAAUUCAAGGCUGGAAGAACUUGCCCCCCCCCCACCUGCAAGGAACAUGCAUGCUAAUUUAAAUAUAACUGACCAAUAGUAGAUGAGAGGGUGACUACUAACUGAUGAAUGUAAAUUUAGGCGGGUUUUUACUGAUCAUGUAACAGAAUAAAUAUGUUGCAGUUCUUUGGUGUGGUGUGCCAGCUUUGUGGAGUCACCACCUGGCACCCAUCUCUGCGCAGACAUGAAAUAAACAAAUAUCUUGGCUCUGUGUGUAAGAUUGGCUUAUUGCACACCGGGUACUGAACCCCGCUUAUGGGACAACAGAGCCAGGCCCUGCCACCACCUCAGAGCCCCUGGGGAGAGUUGCUGCUCUUGGCCUCCAGUCAGCUCUUCAGAGCACCGGGUUCAGAGCGUGGCCUCUGCCACUCAAAUACCAGUGUCCUCAGCCAUGUAGUCUUCAGUCUACACUUACCUUCUUAAUAACUUUCCUGCCACAGUUCAAAAUAGAAAAGGAAAAUCUUCUGUAUGGUCUUACUGCAAGUAUGUCCCACUGGAGGGGAAUUUCUUAUACUUGCGACUCAGAGCUCGUACCAGGACUGCAGACAGGAGAUGCCACGUAGAGCACAGCCUAAAUGUAAAUUAAGGAGAAAAAUAUGAUUUUAAGAGUAGAGAAAUACUGAUAACAGAGGAAUUAUUUUCCAAGUAUUUGCUAUUAAAAACACCCCCCGGCCCAGUUAACAAAUUGUUGUUAGAAGUUGAGUGAAGAAAAAUCACGCAUGCUUCUCUGAAUUUAGGAAUUCCAGAUUUUAUUUAUAAUGCAAGGCACAACCCCCAUUACAUUUCAAAAAUGCAACAAACUCUUUUUCCACAAGUCUGCCAAAUCAUCUGGUAUUUUAACUUGCCUCUAGUAAGAGCGUACCUUGACCCUCCAUUCUAUCUGACUGCCUGGUGAGGGGUUGGAGAUGGGCAGGGGAUAAGCUGCAGCAGGAAGGGGAAUGUGAGAAGCGGGAAUGAAAUGCAGUGAGCAGCAGCUGUGCUGCCCGCUUCCCUCCCAACUUGCUGCCCAUAGAGCAAACCCAGACACUGCUGCGCACAAAGUCAUGUUCCAAAUCUGAAUUGCAGAGAUGUGUCAGGGCGCUGGGAGAAGGCGUGUUUGAAAUGGCGUAUUAAACAGGCAGAAGGAGGAAAGGACAGAAGAUAAUACUACUGCUGAUGAUCUGCAUUUUUACUUUUUAAUGGUGUUUACUACAUGUGUGGAUUAAGGCUGACAAGAAGACAAACCUGCUUCCCCAGCAGACAGUGGAUCUUGUCCUCCUGAAAGAUAUAGGCAGAGAGGUUUCUCUGUUAGCUUGCUGGUUAGUGUCACUGUAGGAAGUACAGAAAAGCAUUUCUUCAAGGCAAUGUAUAGGGAGUCCUGUCAGUGAACUGUAGUCAUUGUAUGGUGUAUUGGGUUUGCGUGGCAAGGUUUUGGUAGUGGGGGAGGCUACAGGGGUGGCUUCUGUGAG